ACCCCCUGGCAAUAGGCACAGAGAUACCUUGUUGGUGAUGCUGGUUUUGUAUCUGUCAGGGGCAGAACAGACAGCAGUUCUUGUUUAUCCUAGCUUGAUGUCUGGUUCGGUGGCCAAAGCUGUCUUAUGCCUAGGACUCAUAA